rnacentral:snRNA from 1 species
GGAUGUGAGGGCAAUCUGGCUGUGACAUCCGUCACCCCACUGAUCGCCAGGGCUGAUUCGCUGAUCUGUCUGGCUAGGCAGGUGUCCCCUUCCUCCCUCACCGCUCCAUUUGCAUCCCUCCCAAAGUUGUGGGUUUGGCUGAAGAGAACAACCUUCCCCAAACAGAGACAGACCUUCUUCAGUAAAGGGCAUACUUCAGUAAAGGGGAGUAGUUGCACUCCCCUGCUAGACCCUCCAGGCAAUCUCUCAAAAGAUAAAAUUCAGCACCAGUGUGCAAGUCCUGAGACAAGGAAGGGGAAGAAACAAAAGGGUGUUUCAGAAUCUUGACUUACCUU